AGAUGAAAAAACAAUAUCAGUGACAAUAAAAGUCAGGCACUGGCCCAGAAGGCUGCCACAGAAACACUGUGGUGCAUGGGCCCUGAUCCCCUCUGCUGGGCCUCAGGGACAAGUUUGGCUACAGACAUCA
rnacentral:snoRNA from 1 species